UGUUGUAUUUUCGAUCCUCUUAAUCUCAAUCUUUCCUCUUCCCAUCUUCCUCUGAGGUGAAUCAGACAUCCUCUCCCCUCUUGUUGAUUCUGGAACCCUUUUGUUAGC